GCCUCCGAUGCCGAUGAUGAGCACACCUAGGAAGAGGCAGUGUCGAUGUGGCAGACCGGGGGUGCAAAGAUUGUCAGUUUGGCAUCAAUGACAACCUGGAUGUGAACACCCCCAGCCUACGCCUCAGCACAUCCAUACCAUCAGGACCUCCACCUAAAUAAGUCCAGAAGCAGCCUCACUCAAUGCUCACCUCCUAGGGCACCUCACUUAGUAUAAUCUCCGUUGUUUAACUGCAUAGAUUUAGUGUAUUAGUUAUAUCCCUAGUUUUAUCUUUUAGUUUUCUCUAUAUGUUCUAUAUGUUCAAUAUUUAUCUCUAUGUUCUGUCUUUUAUGAAAUAAAAUGUUUCUUAUUAAAUUUAAUUUAUUAUUA
rnacentral:lncRNA from 1 species